GCUCCGGUGGCCCAAUGGUAACUCUCCUGUCUGCGGUAUGGGAGACUCGGGUUCAAUUUCCGCCAUCGGCGCC